rnacentral:rRNA from 1 species
AUUGAACGCUGGCGGCAUGCUUUACCCAUGCAAGUCGAACGGUAACAGGGAGCUUGCUCCGCUGACGAGUGGCGAACGGGUGAGUAAUGCGUCGGAACGUGCCGAGUAGUGGGGGAUAACGCAUCGAAAGGUGUGCUAAUACCGCAUACGUACUGAGUGAGAAAGGGGGGGACCUUCGGGCCUCACGCUAUUCGAGCGGCCGAAGUGUGAUUAGCUGGUUGGUGAUGUAAAGGCUCACCAAGGCGACGAUCAGUAGCGGGUCUGAGAGGAUGAUCCGCCACACUGGGACUGCGACACGGCCCAGACUCCUACGGGAGGCAGCAGGGGGGAAUUUUGGACAAUGGGCGCAAGCCUGAUCCAGCCAUGCCGCGUGUCUGAAGAAGGCCUUCGGGUUGUAAAGGACUUUUGUCCGGGAGCAAAUGCCUGGUGUUAAUAGCACUGGGAGCUGAGAGUACCGGAAGAAUAAGCACCGGCUAACUACGUGCCAGCCGCCGCCGUAAGAC